GCCUGCUUAGCUCAAUUGGUAGAGCGCACAGUAACAUUCCUCAAAUCCUCAUAUGUGACCUGUGAGGCUGCGGGUUCGAAUCCCGCAGUGGGCC